rnacentral:lncRNA from 1 species
CAUCUUCAGAGAGGUAGAAAGGGAAUUUAAAACUGUUUUUCCUUCAGCACCAAGACCCAACUGCAAAGACAGUGCUUGUCAGUGAUGGGAGAGGAUCCAGGCCCAGGGAGAUACUGGAUCUGAGCUGUGAGGAGCAAGCCACUAAUUACAUUAAAUAAUAAUUAAAAAGAACACAAAACAAAAGGCACUGAAUGUUUUCAAACAAACUGGAGAAAAUGAGUUUUGUACAUUAACAGUCCAUGAACCUAAGGGGGUAAAAUCCUGCUGGCAGCAGUUUGCUGUUGGCUGUGUGGAUGCUCUGUGGUGCAGUACAGUCCUACCUUUCCUUUCCAGGGAGUGGGGAAUGCUGGCACCUUCAGCUGAGACUGAGAUGGGGGAGGCUGUUAGACCUUGUGGUUUGUUGUCCUCCAUUUCAGCUGAAGUUCCCCAGUGUCAGACUGACUCCUUCCCUGACUCUCCUCAGAUGAGGUACAAACUGGGGAUGUCAAGAAGCAAUUUUGCCUGAGAAGGUUUUUGGGUUUUUGCUUCUGUGGGAGGAGAUGUGGGUGUGAAUGUUCAAAUACGAUUCGGGUUUGGAGUCCUUAACUGCCCCACAAUUUUCAUUGGUUUGAGUUCAGCUCUUGAUCUCCACAUUAAUUUUUCAGCAUGAAAGGACAGCACAAGAAGCAGAAGCCUUGGAAAACUGAGGACACCCAGCCUGGGAGGGAGAGAAAAAUUUCACAUGGUUUGAGAAACCAGAGCAACAGAAAAUUAGGAGUAAGGCAAGGGGCAGGGGCAACAAAAGACCUUCUGUGUUCUCCUGGGAGGCUCCUUCCUUUCCUUCCCCCUUUCUCUACUGCUGCUGAACGGCACUUCCAGGUGUUGCCAAAGGACCAGGACACAGCUGUGGCCACAAAGGUGGAGAAAACACCUCAGCCAGCACACCAGGUGAGAUGGCAGGAGCAGCAAGCACUACCACAACUCCCUUCCACCUCCUUGCUCAGCUGCUUUGCUGCCCAGAAUGUCAUACAAAAAACCAACAAAAACAACCCACCACCACUCUGCAAAAAUCCAAACAACUAAAACAAACACACAAACAAAAAAUCAAAAAAACCUGCUCUGGGCAAAGCAAAACUACUUAUCCCCCAGCCUGGGAUGGAGAGGGGGAGUGGGCUGAAGGUCACUGACAGGGUAAAUUUCUGGGUACUUGGUUGCAUUUUUGUUUCUUCCUUGCCCCUGACUUCUCAAGACUUCUGCAGAAGUUUUAAGUCUUUGAAGCUGUUUCCUCUUGCUCAAACCGCCUGACGUUGGCUGGCUCUGACGCAGCAUCGUGGUGCCACACGCCCUGUCGCAACCCUGUGAGCUCCUGCUCAUCCUCUGGGAACCUGGCACUGCCUCUGCAAGGCUCCUGUUGGAAAAGCAAACAGUCUGGUACUGACCAGAGAGAAUCAGGGAGGGCUGAGGGGGUUGUGAGAUGCCUGAGGUAACUGG